CCUACGGGUGGCAGCAGUGAGGAAUAUUGGUCAAUGGGCGCGAGCCUGAACCAGCCAAGUAGCGUGAAGGAUGACUGCCCUACGGGUUGUAACCUUCUUUUAUAAAGGAAUAAAGUGAGGCACGUGUGCCUUUUUGUAUGUACUUUAUGAAUAAGGAUCGGCUAACUCCGUGCCAGCAGCCGCGGUAAUACGGAGGAUACGAGCGUUAUCCGGAUUUAUUGGGUUUAAAGGGAGCGUAGAUGGGUUGUUAAGUCAGUUGUGAAAGUUUGCGGCUCAACCGUAAAAUUGCAAUUGAUACUGGCAGUCUUGAGUACAGUAGAGGUAUGCGGAAUUCGUGGUGUAGCGGUGAAAUGCUUAGAUAUCACGAAGAACUCCGAUUGCGAAGGCAGCUUACUAGACUGCAACUGACGUUGAUGCUCGAAAGUGUGGGUAUCAAACAGGAUUAGAUACCCUAGUAGUC
rnacentral:rRNA from 1 species